UAAGAAAUAUUUUGAUUUUGAAUAUAAAAAUCAUAAUAAUUAAAAUCUUAAAUAUUAUAUAUAGUUAUGACUUUUAUAUUCAAAAUAAAAACAAUUUUGUUUUAACGUUUUCGUUCUUUCUGUGUCUGAAAUCAUUUAUAUAACUAAUAGUUGAAAUAUUUAAAGUAUCACUCAAUUAAUUUUAUAUUUUAGGUUUAAUUUUGUUUUUAAUCUAAAAAAGGGUAUUUUUAUGUGCAUUAAUUUAUAAAAAUGUAUUAUAAACAUGUUUAUACUACUCAUAUAACGUUUAAUAUACAUAUAUAUAUAUAUAAGUAUAUUUGCUUUGACAUUAUUGUAACCUUAUACACAUAAUUAAAUACUUAUAUCGUUACAGUAUACGUAUAUAAAAUUUAUAAUUCUUAAGAAUCUAUUUGGAUGGUAGAUUAAUAAAUUAAUAUUUGAGAAGUUUGUACUAAAGUUUUCAAUCGUAUAAUUAAUGUAUAUUUAAAGUAAUUUUUCGACUCAGUAUCCUAAAAUUAGUUUCAAGUGAAUUUUAAGCCUAUUGGAUUUUUUUCAUUCAUCUAUCUUUACCUUUGUUCUACUGUAUCAACAGGUAAAAUACGCGAGAGCAUGUACGGUGCUGCCAAUAGGCGACGCCCUGUGAAAGUGCGGUAAUUUAUGCUCGGCGCGCAGUUUCGUGUCGAGUCUUCAGUGUUUCUCCGCGCUUCCGUUCGUGCGUUUAGGUUGUGGUUCGUUGUGGAAGCUAGUAACGUCGGUUUCGAAGUUGAAAUUAGUGUUUUGCGGAGAGAAGUAACAAAGUCAUCGUUUUUUAAGUAACGUGAAGAAAAUGGCUGAAAGUAAGGGUGCGUUGAUUGCGAAAACAGUGCAAAAACAUGCAGGCAGAGCGAAGGAGAAGUUUCUACAGAAUUUA